rnacentral:lncRNA from 1 species
AGUGGAUCUCCGGGAAAACAUGAAUGAGAUAGACGGUGGUGGAUGAGGGGUCAGCAGCGUGCUUUAAUGUCCAGGUCAGCGCCUCCAUGCUUGACUCGCUUUUACCGACUCCCACAUAAACGCUGUUGCUGCUUCUAUGAUCAUGAUGAUUAUCUGUAUAAUCUUCCUUGAUGGAUGGCAUGGGCAGGUAUCGUUUGUUCCCAAAAAGCUCUUUGAUCUCCCUUGGGAUAUCAUCGGCCUGGGUUGAUCUUCUUGAUGAGGAUCUGCUGCUUGAACUUGAACUUGAACCAACCUCCUCCUCAUCAUCCUCCUCGAUCUCGCAUGAUGAUAUGUUG